rnacentral:rRNA from 1 species
UGGGGAAUAUUGCACAAUGGGCGAAAGCCUGAUGCAGCGACGCCGCGUGAGGGAUGACGGCCUUCGGGUUGUAAACCUCUUUCAGUAGGGACGAAGCGCAAGUGACGGUACCUGCAGAAGAAGCACCGGCUAACUACGUGCCAGCAGCCGCGGUAAUACGUAGGGUGCGAGCGUUGUCCGGAAUUACUGGGCGUAAAGAGCUCGUAGGCGGUUUGUCACGUCGUCUGUGAAAUCCUAGGGCUUAACCCUGGACGUGCAGGCGAUACGGGCUGACUUGAGUACUACAGGGGAGACUGGAAUUUCUGGUGUAGCGGUGGAAUGCACAGAUAUCAGGAAGAACACCGAUGGCGAAGGCAGGUCUCUGGGUAGUAACUGGCGCUGAGGAGCGAAAGCAUGGGUAGCGAACAGG